rnacentral:rRNA from 1 species
UAGAGUUUGAUCCUGGCUCAGAUUGAACGCUGGCGGCAGGCCUAACACAUGCAAGUCGAACGGUAGCACAGAGAGCUUGCUCUCGGGUGACGAGUGGCGGACGGGUGAGUAAUGUCUGGGAAACUGCCUGAUGGAGGGGGAUAACUACUGGAAACGGUAGCUAAUACCGCAUAAUGUCGCAAGACCAAAGAGAGGGACCUUCGGGCCUCUUGCCAUCGGAUGUGCCCAGAUGGGAUUAGCUGGUAGGCGGGGUAAUGGCCCACCUAGGCGACGAUCCCUAGCUGGUCUGAGAGGAUGACCAGCCACACUGGAACUGAGACACGGUCCAGACUCCUACGGGAGGCAGCAGUGGGGAAUAUUGCACAAUGGGCGCAAGCCUGAUGCAGCCAUGCCGCGUGUAUGAAGAAGGCCUUCGGGUUGUAAAGUACUUUCAGCGAGGAGGAAGGCGGUAAGGUUAAUAACCUUACCGAUUGACGUUACUCGCAGAAGAAGCACCGGCUAACUCCGUGCCAGCAGCCGCGGUAAUACGGAGGGUGCAAGCGUUAAUCGGAAUUACUGGGCGUAAAGCGCACGCAGGCGGUCUGUCAAGUCGGAUGUGAAAUCCCCGGGCUCAACCUGGGAACUGCAUUCGAAACUGGCAGGCUGGAGUCUUGUAGAGGGGGGGUAGAAUUCCAGGUGUAGCGGUGAAUGCGUAGAGAUCUGGAGGAAUACCGGUGGCGAAGGCGGCCCCCUGGACAAAGACUGACGCUCAGUGCGAAAGCGUGGGGAGCAACAGGAUUAGAUACCCUGGUAGUCCACGCCGUAA